rnacentral:tRNA from 1 species
GUACCCUUAGAUCAGUUGGCCAGAGCAGACAGUUCAUAACCGUCCGGUCGUAGGUUCGAGUCCUACAGGGCACA